rnacentral:tRNA from 1 species
GGCCUGAUGGUCUAGUAGUAUGAUUCCUUGUUAGGGCGCUUGUCGCGAAAUUUCGAGGAGGUCCCGGGUUCAAUUCCCGGUUAGGCCC